rnacentral:rRNA from 1 species
UACAGAGGGUGCAAGCGUUGUUCGGAAUUAUUGGGCGUAAAGGGCGCGUAGGCGGUGCGGUAAGUCUGUAGUGAAAUCUCUGGGCUCAACUCAGAGUCUGCUGCAGAAACUGCCGUGCUUGAGUGUGGGAGAGGUGAGUGGAAUUCCCGGUGUAGCGGUGAAAUGCGUAGAUAUCGGGGGGGAACACCUGUGGCGAAAGCGGCUCACUGGACCACAACUGACGCUGAGGCGCGAAAGCUAGGGGAGCAAACAGG